GCACAUUCACUUUUAUGCAUGGUCAUAAAAGAGAAGAAGUUAUAUAUGCCUUUGUAGGCUGGAUCCUAUUCGGGCAACAAAAAAAGAGAGGAAGAAACAGCCCUCACCACAAAUUUUUUUAAGAGGGUCCAUUUUCUUCAUAUCAAAGCAUUAAAUCGGUGGCCCAAAACGAUUCUCCUCCAACUUUAUAGCACGAGAAUUCGAUCCCGUACCGUGCGCCACAUCUCUUUCUUCGAACCUGAGCCAAGUUCCAAGGACAACGUACGUUUCCUUCUGGCCCGUUGAAACCAUCAUCGGAGUCUAUUGGACGCUAAUCAACCUCUCGAGAAGAGAAGAGAAAAAAAAAGGGGGGGUCAUUGGUUAUCGGGGCACGAUGGGAAGGUGUAGGGAAUGAAAUGUCUACCUAAGAUGCACUUAUGAUAUGCAACAAAAGAUGAGUGGAUUUCAUACCGUUGGACCAACCUGGAUGACACCGACCUCUGUAUUAAA
rnacentral:lncRNA from 1 species